ACUUUUACUCGGGACGAAAAAGGGAUAUCAAAUAAAUAUCCCCGAUGACGGUACCGUGAGAAUAAGCCACGGCUAACUCUGUGCCAGCAGCCGCGGUAAGACAGAGGUGGCAAGCGUUGUUCGGAAUUACUGGGCGUAAAGAGUCUGUAGGUGGUUUGUCAAGUCUUUGGUGAAAGGCCGUAGCUUAACUAUGGGAAUGCCAAAGAGACUGGCAGGCUGGAGGCUGGGAGAGGGAAGCGGAAUUUCUGGUGUAGCGGUGAAAUGCGUAGAUAUCAGAAGGAAGGCCGGUGGCGAAGGCGGCUUCCUGGAACAGUCCUGACACUGAGAGACGAAAGCGUGGGGAGCAAACAGGAUUAGAUACCCUGGUAGUCCACGCCCUAAACGAUGGGUACUAAGUGUGGAGGGGUUAAACCCUCCGUGCCGCAGCUAACGCAGUAAGU
rnacentral:rRNA from 1 species